rnacentral:rRNA from 1 species
UUAAGCGACCAAGCGUACACGGUGGAUGCCCUGGCAGUCAGAGGCGAUGAAGGACGUGCUAAUCUGCGAAAAGCGCCGGCGAGGUGAUAUGAACCCUUGACCCGGCGAUGUCCGAAUGGGGAAACCCAGUGUGAUUCGUCACACUAUCGUUAGCUGAAUACAUAGGCUAACGAGGCGAACCGGGGGAACUGAAACAUCUAAGUACCCCGAGGAAAAGAAAUCAACCGAGAUUCCCCCAGUAGCGGCGAGCGAACGGGGAGGAGCCCAGAGCCUGAAUCAGCUUGUGUGUUAGUGGAAGCGUCUGGAAAGUCGCACGGUACAGGGUGAAAGUCCCGUACACGAAAACGCACAGGCUGUGAGCUCGAUGAGUAGGGCGGGACACGUGGUAUCCUGUCUGAAUAUGGGGGGACCAUCCUCCAAGGCUAAAUACUCCUGACUGACCGAUAGUGAACCAGUACCGUGAGGGAAAGGCGAAAAGAACCCCGGCGAGGGGAGUGAAAAAGAACCUGAAACCGUGUACGUACAAGCAGUGGGAGCCUCUUUUAUGGGGUGACUGCGUACCUUUUGUAUAAUGGGUCAGCGACUUAUAUUCUGUAGCAAGGUUAACCGUAUAGGGGAGCCGAAGGGAAACCGAGUCUUAACUGGGCGUUAAGUUGCAGGGUAUAGACCCGAAACCCGGUGAUCUAGCCAUGGGCAGGUUGAAGGUUGGGUAACACUAACUGGAGGACCGAACCGACUAAUGUUGAAAAAUUAGCGGAUGACCUGUGGCUGGGGGUGAAAGGCCAAUCAAACCGGGAGAUAGCUGGUUCUCCCCGAAAGCUAUUUAGGUAGCGCCUCGUGAAUUCAUCUCCGGGGGUAGAGCACUGUUUCGGCUAGGGGGCCAUCCCGGCUUACCAACCCGAUGCAAACUGCGAAUACCGGAGAAUGUUAUCACGGGAGACACACGGCGGGUGCUAACGUCCGUCGUGAAGAGGGAAACAACCCAGACCGCCAGCUAAGGUCCCAAAGUCAUGGUUAAGUGGGAAACGAUGUGGGAAGGCCCAGACAGCCAGGAUGUUGGCUUAGAAGCAGCCAUCAUUUAAAGAAAGCGUAAUAGCUCACUGGUCGAGUCGGCCUGCGCGGAAGAUGUAACGGGGCUAAACCAUGCACCGAAGCUGCGGCAGCGACGCUUAUGCGUUGUUGGGUAGGGGAGCGUUCUGUAAGCCGUUGAAGGUGUGCUGUGAGGCAUGCUGGAGGUAUCAGAAGUGCGAAUGCUGACAUAAGUAACGAUAAAGCGGGUGAAAAGCCCGCUCGCCGGAAGACCAAGGGUUCCUGUCCAACGUUAAUCGGGGCAGGGUGAGUCGACCCCUAAGGCGAGGCCGAAAGGCGUAGUCGAUGGGAAACAGGUUAAUAUUCCUGUACUUGGUGUUACUGCGAAGGGGGGACGGAGAAGGCUAUGUCGGCCGGGCGACGGUUGUCCCGGUUUAAGCAUGUAGGCGGAGGUUCCAGGUAAAUCCGGUACCUUAUUAAACGCUGAGGUGUGAUGACGAGGCACUACGGUGCUGAAGUGACAAAUGCCCUGCUUCCAGGAAAAGCCUCUAAGCAUCAGGUAACACGAAAUCGUACCCCAAACCGACACAGGUGGUCAGGUAGAGAAUACCAAGGCGCUUGAGAGAACUCGGGUGAAGGAACUAGGCAAAAUGGUGCCGUAACUUCGGGAGAAGGCACGCUGAUAUGUAGGUGAAGUGAUUUACUCAUGGAGCUGAAAUCAGUCGAAGAUACCAGCUGGCUGCAACUGUUUAUUAAAAACACAGCACUGUGCAAACACGAAAGUGGACGUAUACGGUGUGACGCCUGCCCGGUGCCGGAAGGUUAAUUGAUGGGGUUAUCCCUCGGGAGAAGCUCUUGAUCGAAGCCCCGGUAAACGGCGGCCGUAACUAUAACGGUCCUAAGGUAGCGAAAUUCCUUGUCGGGUAAGUUCCGACCUGCACGAAUGGCGUAAUGAUGGCCAGGCUGUCUCCACCCGAGACUCAGUGAAAUUGAACUCGCUGUGAAGAUGCAGUGUACCCGCGGCAAGACGGAAAGACCCCGUGAACCUUUACUAUAGCUUGACACUGAACACUGGUCCUUGAUGUGUAGGAUAGGUGGGAGGCUUUGAAGUGCGGACGCCAGUCUGCAUGGAGCCGCCCUUGAAAUACCACCCUUUAAUGGCUGGUGUUCUAACGUGGGCCCGUAAUCCGGGUUGCGGACAGUGUCUGGUGGGUAGUUUGACUGGGGCGGUCUCCUCCUAAAGAGUAACGGAGGAGCACGAAGGUCAGCUAAUCCUGGUCGGACAUCAGGAGGUUAGUGCAAUGGCAUAAGCUGGCUUGACUGCGAGCGUGACGGCGCGAGCAGGUGCGAAAGCAGGUCAUAGUGAUCCGGUGGUUCUGAAUGGAAGGGCCAUCGCUCAACGGAUAAAAGGUACUCCGGGGAUAACAGGCUGAUACCGCCCAAGAGUUCAUAUCGACGGCGGUGUUUGGCACCUCGAUGUCGGCUCAUCACAUCCUGGGGCUGAAGUAGGUCCCAAGGGUAUGGCUGUUCGCCAUUUAAAGUGGUACGCGAGCUGGGUUUAGAACGUCGUGAGACAGUUCGGUCCCUAUCUGCCGUGGGCGCUGGAGAACUGAGGGGGGCUGCUCCUAGUACGAGAGGACCGGAGUGGACGCAUCACUGGUGUUCGGGUUGUCAUGCCAAUGGCACUGCCCGGUAGCUAAAUGCGGAAGAGAUAAGUGCUGAAAGCAUCUAAGCACGAAACUUGCCCCGAGAUGAGUUCUCCCUGACUCCUUGAGAGUCCUGAAGGAACGUUGAAGACGACGACGUUGAUAGGCCGGGUGUGUAAGCGCAGCGAUGCGUUGAGCUAACCGGUACUAAUGAACCGUGAGGCUUAACCUU